rnacentral:lncRNA from 1 species
CCACUUCUCCCGUCUCCUUUAAACACUUCAGAGAGAGUUGGUGUCCCCGUCCUAGUCAGUUACAAUGACCGCCCUUCACUUCCACAGAGCCUGCGUUUCCCUUUCAGCCUGCUAUCAAAAUGAUAAAUAACUCUACAACUAGUGCAUGUAUUCAAAAAACUCCGUAAGGGCAGAGGUCACCUUCUCUACCUUCUGUCCCCACUGCAUCCCCACUGUGUGUCACGGGACCUAGAAUAUGGCACACACUUCCUAAAUAUAUAGUGAAGAAAUUAACAUGGAAUGGAUAAGAGAAGCAAAAGGGGACUGGACCAAUGAGAUGGAGGGAAGCAGUACCUCCUGCAUGGUCUCAUUCAGAACCCUAAGCUGGCCUUGAAUUCAGUGAUCGGCCUCUCAAAUGCUGGGGGGUUACAGUCAUGAGUCACCAGUCUGUGAGAUCAUUGCAAGUUUCAUUUUGACAUGUCCUUAAGUUCCUGUGUGCUCUGAACUCCCAGCUCAUCCUCCCUCAAACCUACCCAAUGCCAAGAAGUGAACAACCCAACAAGGGCUGGUGGCUCCCCAGUGGGACAACCUGGCUCUGGAUGGGGUCUCAGCCAGGCCCUGCAUCUGCUCAGUGUGCCCUGGCUGCCAAAGAGAAAUGCUUUCCCAGGUACAGGACCAAGAAUGGUGGCAGUGGAAUGUCACACUGCUGGACCACAGAGGAGCCAGAAAACACCAGGGAAACUCCAAAAAAAAAAAAAAAAAAAAAAUCAGAUGGAAAGGAGGAACAUGGCUGAAUCUACUUAUAUGACACAUCCCGCAAACUGAAAAGACAAAGGCGGGGUGCAAAAUGUGGAUGACUACUGGGAAGACCUGACUCCACAGUGAUCAUCCUCCAAAAAGAGAGCAGAGGAGAAAAGGCAGACAGAAGAUAUUUAGAAAAAAGAAAUGUAAAAAGGGCUGCAGAGACUUGAAGGGCACACGGGCCAAGUGCCACCCACAAGCUUCAUCUGACUCCAGGGGACGGAAAGAACAAGGCACUUCUGAGUGCGUGGGGGACCUGUUUCUGCCUCCGUACGUGGCCCUGUGGGCAGCGUUCUUAGGGUUAAACAAUAAACUACAAAAUAACUGC